GACGAACGCUGGCGGCGUGCUUAACACAUGCAAGUCGAACGGAAAGGCCCUGCUUUUGUGGGGUGCUCGAGUGGCGAACGGGUGAGUAACACGUGAGUAACCUGCCCUUGACUUUGGGAUAACUUCAGGAAACUGGGGCUAAUACCGGAUAGGAGCUCCUGCUGCAUGGUGGGGGUUGGAAAGUUUCGGCGGUUGGGGAUGGACUCGCGGCUUAUCAGCUUGUUGGUGGGGUAGUGGCUUACCAAGGCUUUGACGGGUAGCCGGCCUGAGAGGGUGACCGGCCACAUUGGGACUGAGAUACGGCCCAGACUCCUACGGGAGGCAGCAGUGGGGAAUAUUGCACAAUGGGCGGAAGCCUGAUGCAGCAACGCCGCGUGCGGGAUGACGGCCUUCGGGUUGUAAACCGCUUUCGCCUGUGACGAAGCGUGAGUGACGGUAAUGGGUAAAGAAGCACCGGCUAACUACGUGCCAGCAGCCGCGGUGAUACGUAGGGUGCGAGCGUUGUCCGGAUUUAUUGGGCGUAAAGGGCUCGUAGGUGGUUGAUCGCGUCGGAAGUGUAAUCUUGGGGCUUAACCCUGAGCGUGCUUUCGAUACGGGUUGACUUGAGGAAGGUAGGGGAGAAUGGAAUUCCUGGUGGAGCGGUGGAAUGCGCAGAUAUCAGGAGGAACACCAGUGGCGAAGGCGGUUCUCUGGGCCUUUCCUGACGCUGAGGAGCGAAAGCGUGGGGAGCGAACAGGCUUAGAUACCCUGGUAGUCCACGCUGUAAACGGUGGGUACUAGGUGUGGGGUCCAUUCCACGGGUUCCGUGCCGUAGCUAACGCUUUAAGUACCCCGCCUGGGGAGUACGGCCGCAAGGCUAAAACUCAAAGGAAUUGACGGGGCCCCGCACAAGCGGCGGAGCAUGCGGAUUAAUUCGAUGCAACGCGUAGAACCUUACCUGGGUUUGACAUGGAUCGGGAGCGCUCAGAGAUGGGUGUGCCUCUUUUGGGGUCGGUUCACAGGUGGUGCAUGGCUGUCGUCAGCUCGUGUCGUGAGAUGUUGGGUUAAGUCCCGCAACGAGCGCAACCCUUGUUCACUGUUGCCAGCACGUUAUGGUGGGGACUCAGUGGAGACCGCCGGGGUCAACUCGGAGGAAGGUGGGGAUGACGUCAAGUCAUCAUGCCCCUUAUGUCCAGGGCUUCACGCAUGCUACAAUGGCUGGUACAGAGAGUGGCGAGCCUGUGAGGGUGAGCGAAUCUCGAAAAGCCGGUCUCAGUUCGGAUUGGGGUCUGCAACUCGACCUCAUGAAGUCGGAGUCGCUAGUAAUCGCAGAUCAGCAACGCUGCGGUGAAUACGUUCCCGGGGCU
rnacentral:rRNA from 1 species